CUGAUACUGACAUCCUUCCAGCCUCAGGACAUCGCACUCCAGGUGUGAUUUCUCAGACCCAUACAUGAUUGGUCAGACAUAAAGGGGGCAGAGGAAGACCAAACCUGGAGGCUGAGUCAGGUGCUCCUUACAAGUGGACUUUUACAGACUGCACUGCAUGCAGAUGCCUUGCUGUACCCUGUGGCUACAUCCUCUGCCUCCAGCUCACCACCCAAGUAGUGGGAAGAGAACAUAUGUCUUCAAACCAAGGUGCACAGCACGGUGGGACCCUGGGGUGUGCCUCGGACAUCUUAGAGUAACCUGAGGAAUCACUAUGAUAUGGACAGAGGAAGGAAUUGCCAAGGUGAGACAGGAAGGAUAAUGGA